AGAGUGAACGCUGGCGGUAGGCCUAACACAUGCAAGUCGAACGGCAGCACAGUGGUAGCAAUACCAUGGGUGGCGAGUGGCGGACGGGUGAGGAAUACAUCGGAAUCUACCUUUUCGUGGGGGAUAACGUAGGGAAACUUACGCUAAUACCGCAUACGCCCUUCGGGGGAAAGCCGGGGAUCGCAAGACCUGGCGCGGAUAGAUGAGCCGAUGUCGGAUUAGCUAGUUGGUGAGGUAAUGGCUCACCAAGGCGACGAUCCGUAGCUGGUCUGAGAGGAUGAUCAGCCACACUGGAACUGAGACACGGUCCAGACUCCUACGGGAGCAGCAGGUGGGGAAUAGUUGGAACAA
rnacentral:rRNA from 1 species